GACGAACGCUGGCGGCGGGCUUAACACAUGCAAGUCGAACGGAAAGGCCCUGCUUGUGUGGGGUGCUCGAGUGGCGAACGGGUGAGUAACACGUGAGUAACCUGCCCUUGACUUUGGGAUAACUUCAGGAAACUGGGGCUAAUACCGGAUAGGAGCUCCUGCUGCAUGGUGGGGGUUGGAAAGUUUCGGCGGUUGGGGAUGGACGCGCGGCUGAUCAGCUUGUUGGUGGGGUAGUGGCUUACCAAGGCUUUGACGGGUAGCCGGCCGGAGAGGGUGACCGGCCACAUUGGGACUGAGAUACGGCCCAGACUCCUACGGGAGGCAGCAGUGGGGAAUAUUGCACAAUGGGCGGAAGCCUGAUGCAGCAACGCCGCGUGCGGGAUGACGGCCUUCGGGUUGUAAACCGCUUUCGCCUGUGACGAAGCGUGAGUGACGGUAAUGGGUAAAGAAGCACCGGCUAACUACGUG
rnacentral:rRNA from 1 species